rnacentral:tRNA from 1 species
GCCCUCGUGGUGCAACGGAUAGCACGUAAGCCUCCGAAGCUUAAAAUGUGAGUUCGAUUCUCGCCGAGGGCACUA